rnacentral:rRNA from 1 species
ACGUAGGUGGCGAGCGUUAUCCGGAUUUACUGGGUGUAAAGGGCGUGUAGGCGGGUCUGCAAGUCGGAUGUGAAAUUCCCGGGCUUAAAUCGGGCGGGGCAUCCGAAACUGCGGAUCUUGAGUACUGGAGAGGAUAGUGGAAUUCCUAGUGUAGCGGUAAAAUGCGUAGAUAUUAGGAGGAACACCAGUGGCGAAGGCGGCUAUUUGGACAGUAACUGACUCUGAGGCGCGAAAGCGUGUGGAGUAAUCAG